CAGAUCUAAACUUCCUGCUUUGAGAUAAGUUUUAUUUUAACCAUUGAUGUUACAUCGAAUGUUCUUUUCAUGUGGAGUUUACGUGUAACGGUGUUUGGAUAUUAUGGGAUAAAAAUUACUUAUUCUUUUUUGGAAAAAUGAAGUGGAGUUUAAAUUUGACAUUGUUUGUUUGGUGUAUAUGGUUAAAUGUUAGCAAGAAUCAGGUAGAAGGAGAGAUUAAUGAACAAUGUUUAGAAGAUUGUGGAUGCUGUAUAGAUAGAAAAUGUGGACCUGGGCAUAACUUUCCUGACGAAUGCACUUUCGGCUGUAUUAAUGGCCAUAGAGGUGCUCGAUGUUAUGAACUAUGUACAUACAAUUGUACAGAAUGCCCUUAUCGUGCAGAUGAGUGUAGUUCGUGUUAUGAUGGCUAUUACCCCGGCCCUGCUAGAGAUUGUACAUCAGAAUGUUUACCCGGAUGUAAAACAUGCACGUCAGGAACCACGUGUACAUCAUGCAAGGAUGGAUAUGAUAACGCCGUUGGUCAAAAUGAUUGUAGUAAUCAAUGUAAUAAUAGUCAAUGCGAAUCAUGUAAGGACUAGGGAGAAAACAUAAAAGCGGUGAAAGGAAGGGAGGGAUAUGUAUUAGGUAAAUGAUAAAAAGUAAAAGGGCCAAUACGGGAUAUAAAGGGAAAAUGGAUAUAAGGGGAAAUAAGGGGGAGUGGUAGGAUUAAGAGGGGUAAUAGGGAAAUAUACCGUUAAUGUCAAAUUAACAAGAUAAGACUUCACAGAACGUGCAAACAUUCAUAACAUUUAUCAAAUCGCAAAACACACACGAACACAGAGGGUGACCGCCUUGGAACGGCCAGUAGUAAUAACACCACUGGAGUGUUUUAACCGGUGUUAGGUUCGCCUCACACUUAGUCCAACAAUGUUCCUUUAUGUCGAGAAAGUGUCAAUUAAAGUGACUGUAAAAAUAAUUAUACGUGUUUAUGUACAGAAUUAAAGUACGAAUAUGAGAAAAAGAGAUAAAUUAUAAAAAAAAUUAAAGAACGCACAAAACGACAAAAUUGAAAUUGUUGCAGGCUUGGUUUGAUUGAACCUGUUCAUGGACGGUAUUAGAAUGUGCAAGUUACCGUCCACGUCCCCUAAGACUGGCUUAAGUAGUUUUCGACGUUUAAAUUGAAAUAGUAAAUACGUAAUUUUGAAACAUCCGCAGAUGCGUUUAUACGGCGAUUAUCAUGGACCCUUCAAAGUGACACGUUAAUGUCUUCCAUAAAAAGCGGAACGCUUUUAUUUCUACGCCGCCAAGAUAAUUGUGUUGUUUAUCGAUGAUUUUUAGACUCAAGUACCUCAGAAAAGUCAGUAGAUAUAGCUGAUAUAUCCCUUGGACAUUUUUCUGCUGUGUCAGCAAUUGUUAACAUCAUACUUGUGGUUACAGUGAUUCUCUGGAAAUCGGAAAAGGCAUUGAACUGGAAUGUGGCAAUUCAGGAAAUGUUGGCGCUAUCAGCAAGCAUGGAAUUGUACAAUGUUUUCUACACUUUUAAUUGACGUCUUUCUUGAUUUUUCUUUGCAUUUCAUUUAAAAUAUAUGUGACGCGCUCAGCGAUUUUUGGCCCAAUUGAAGUUUUUAAUAAUUGUGAGAAAAACGCUUGCAAAGUCACGCGAGUGUUCAUGUCUUAAUUUUUAGGGUUUCCCUUCAAAACAUAGUAUCUUUGAAAGUUUAAAGAAUAAAAUAAACUAGAAAGAAAUAAAAAAAAUUACUUUUGAAAAGCCCUUCUCAGCUUCCACGAUAAACAUUUCCCAAAAAUCUAUAUUUAGAAUAAAUACACUGUCAGGAGUAGGGUCAGCGAGUACACUACCUUUUACGUCAUGUUACUGCAUAUAUUUGCAGGUUUAAGGUAGUAGGACCCUAAUGGGCACUAUCAGGAACUAAAGAAUUGACAUCAUAGGUCAGAUGUAUACCUUAAAGUACACCUGUAUGCAAAAUUUAAACAAAGUUUACCGUACGGAAAU